CAGAGUUUUCGUGAGGUAAUCUUUCUUAUGCUGGGAGUGAAGGCAGUGCGUAUGAUGACCGCUUGAUAUGAAAGACACAUCCUGUUUUUAAAGGUGGAUCAUGAGUGAAGCUCUGGAGGUCUGCCAUUGGCUUGAUAACAGUGGUUUAUGUGAAUUGAGUGAAUUCAAUUUAUAAAUAAAUCUUUCACCAAGCAUUCACCUAUUUACUGACAAAACAGAUCCAAAUCUUGUUCAGCCUGAUGCUCAACCUUGUAUGAUGAUGACAACAGCCAGGUGAUGGAGAUCUGUGUUAAUCACACCCUGCGUCUCAAGAUCAACAUGACAAUAGCAGACCAUUUCUUAUCUUACUCUUAUCUGACUAAAUGUUCAGCAUCAUUGCAACAAAACAAAGAACAUUGGAUGGAGUAUUGGAGUAUUGGAUGAUCCCGUAAAGAAAAUAAUAUGGACUUUUUUGGUGAGAUUCUACAAAGAUUGACACAAUCCUAUUGACUUUUAUUUUUACAGUUAAUAAUGCAUUAUAAACAUCCCAUUCAUUUGUAUUCUAUGUCAUCGAUCUGUUUGUGCUAAAGUGUUUACAUCUGAAUGUAAUGUCAAUAAUAUGUUAAUAUUCAGGAUUUAUUAUCAUUUGCAUGUUUUGAUGUUGAUGUCAUGAUUUUAUUGAUUUCAUGUAAUUGUUGUCUAUUUAAAAUGAUUUUA